AGGCAGAACUGCAGCACAUGCACUUACCCACAGUAAGGCAGAACUGCAGCACAUGUACUUACCCACAGUGAGGCAGAACUGCAGCACAUGCACUUACCCACAGUAAGGCAGAACUGCAGCACAUGCACUUACCCACAGUGAGGCAGAACUGCAGCACAUGCACGGCCCCUUCGUGCUUCAGGAAGUUCAUGAAGCGGAACAGUAGAUCCUGCUGCUCUCUGAUCUCCUUAAGCUCCAGCUUCAGAACCUAGACAACCAUGGGGGGACGAGCAAGACAGGCCCGACUGCAACGAGGCGCGAGGCACGAGGCCUGCUCUUACAGAUGCCUUCUUGUUCCGUGGGUCAGCGUACUUCUGCAGGAAGGGGACCAGGGCAGAGGAAGGCUCACUGGCUGCUUCAUGCUGAGAACACAGUAAAGAUGAGUUCCCAUCCCACACCAUCUCCACACGCCUGCCAUGACAUGACUGGAAAGUUCAACCUUUACUCACUGGACUGUCAUCAAUGAAUAUCAGCACCAUGUGGUUCACGGUAUCCUAAAAGGAAAUGAAUGCAAUGUUUGUAAACAUGACCUGCAUUGGUUGACUGUCGAGACUGAGUUUGUACAUCAUUAUUGUUACUUCCAUAUACAGUAUAUUAGAUGGGUUCUGCUUACUGGGUCGGCCAUGAAGUCCAUAGUGGGGAGUAUCACAGAGCCUGUCAUAACCUCUCGCAGUAAUAAAGACAGAGACCUGGAAAAACGUGCAACAAGAUGUUCUGUUAUCCAUUCAGGGACACUUGUCAAUAAAACCCCAGCAGGAGUUUAUUUCUCA